rnacentral:lncRNA from 1 species
CGAGUUGAUAUCUUUUGUCAUUCAUAAAUUAUUAUAGCUGCAUCAGUUUAUUCUCUAAAAUGCAAGUCAGAAAUAUUUGAAGCUUUUAGAAAGUUUAAAGUAUGGGUUGAGAAGCUAAGUGGCUACUCUUUAAAGGCCCUUCACAUAAUCGAGGUGAUGAGUUGUUAUCUAAUGAAUUUAACUAUUUAUAUAAUGAAAAUGGCACUUGUAGGAAACUCACAGCACCAUACAU